AGUGGUGUAGCUCAGCAGCAGAGCACAUGCUUUGCAUGUAGAAGGUCCCAGAUUCAACCCCUGGCAUCUCCU